rnacentral:rRNA from 1 species
AUUGAACGCUGGCGGCAUGCCUUACACAUGCAAGUCGAACGGUAACAGGUCUUCGGAUGCUGACGAGUGGCGAACGGGUGAGUAAUACAUCGGAACGUGCCUAGUAGUGGGGGAUAACUACUCGAAAGAGUGGCUAAUACCGCAUGAGAUCUAUGGAGGAAAGCAGGGGAUCGUAAGACCUUGUGCUACUACAGCGGCCGAUGGCAGAUGAGGUAGUUGGUGGGAUAAAAGCUUACCAAGCCGACGAUCUGUAGCUGGACUGAGAGGACGAUCAGCCACACUGGGACUGAGACACGGCCCAGACUCCUACGGGAGGGAGCAGUGGGGAAUUUUGGACAAUGGGCGCAAGCCUGAUCCAGCAAUGCCGCGUGCAGGAUGAAGGCCUUCGGGUUGUAAACUGCUUUUGUACGGAACGAAAAGCCCUGGGUUAAUACCCUGGGGUCAUGACGGUACCGUAAGAAUAAGCACCGGCUAACUACGUGCCAGCAGCCGCCGUAAUAC